GGUUAUGGCUCAGUGGUAGAGCGCUCGCCUCACACACGCGAGGUCCUGGGUUCGAUCCUCAGCACCA
rnacentral:tRNA from 1 species